UUUGUGGUCGGUGUACAGGUGGUGCAUGGUUGUCGUCAGCUCGUGUCGUGAGAUGUUGGGUUAAGUCCCGCAACGAGCGCAACCCUCGUCCUAUGUUGCCAGCGGGUCAUGCCGGGACUCAUGGGAGACUGCCGGGGUCAACUCGGAGGAAGUGGGGAUGACGUCAAAUCAUCAUGCCCCUUAUGUCUUGGGCUUCACGCAUGCUACAAUGGCCGGUACAAAGGGCUGCGAUACCGCGAGGUGGAGCGAAUCCCAGAAAGCCGGUCUCAGUUCGGAUUGGGGUCUGCAACUCGACCCCAUGAAGUCGGAGUCGCUAGUAAUCGCAGAUCAGCAACGCUGCGGUGAAUACGUUCCCGGGCCUU
rnacentral:rRNA from 1 species